GUAUGUACCCAUCUAUCUGAGGUUUCUAAUAAGAUUUCAUUUGAGAAGUCAAGAUUUUUGCUAUUCAGAAUAUUCUAAUAAUUAUUCUAUGUCUAAUCCAUUUUCCAUACUACAGAUGCUGAGUUGCUUGGCACCAUCUGGGUGCCGCUAUGUUUGCCAAGUUCCUAUCAUCUCUUGUCAGUCAUCGCUAAGUACCUCCUCGUCCACCAGAUGCUGUAAUCUCCGUCCACAGCCAAGUCAUUCACACUACCGAGAUGAUAAACCUCCAUGGUGUUCUUUUGCAGAAUGGAGAAGGCUGCUUCUCUCUCCUUUGGUUCAUACGACAUCAGAGUGCAACUCUGAAUGCUUGAGCUUCAGAUCGAUGUUUU
rnacentral:lncRNA from 1 species